rnacentral:rRNA from 1 species
GAUGAACGCUGGCGGCGUGCCUAAUACAUGCAAGUCGAGCGAACAGACGAGGAGCUUGCUCCUCUGACGUUAACGGCGGACGUGUGAGUAACACGUGGAUCACCUACCUAUAAGACUAGGAUAACUUCGGGAAACCGGAGCUAAUACCGGAUAAUAUAUUGAACCGCAUGGUUCAAUAGUGAAAGACGGUUUUGCUGUCACUUAUGGAUGGAUCCGCGCCGCAUUAGCUAGUUGGUAAGGUACCGGCUUGCCAAGGCGACGCUGCGUAGCCGACCGGAGAGGGUGUAGGGCCCCCCUGGAACUGAGACGCGGCCCAGACUCCGACGGGCGGCAGCAGUAGGGAAGCUUCCGAAAUGGGCGAAAGCCUGCCGGAGCAACGCCGCGUGAGUGAUGAAGGUCUUCGGAUCGUAAAACUCUGUUAUUAGGGAAGAACAAUUGUGGAAGUAACUAUGCACGUCGUGACGGUACCUAAUCAGAAAGCCACGGCUAACUACGUG